rnacentral:tRNA from 2 species
GGCCCCAUCGUCUAAUGGUUAGGACACGGGCUUUUCAAGCCUGUAACCGGGGUUCGACUCCCCGUGGGGUCACCA